UGGGCCUUGUGGUAGUAGGUGGGAGUCAUUUCUUUGAUAUCUUGAUCUUCGAGAGUAAAGUUAUUUGGGCUAGUAUCACCUAGGAGGGUAGAUUCUGGGGGCUAAUCAUCUCAUUGUCAAAGAUGAUUCCACUACAAAGGCAUAGUAGAUCCAGAGUUAGUCAGAGUCUGUGCACUCUCAUCCUCUACUAUGAGACAUUCAGAGGAUGAUGCAGGGGUACGUCUCCUCGUAGGCCUGACAUAUUUUGUGGGUAUAGCUCCCCAUUCUAGC
rnacentral:lncRNA from 1 species